GAGUCACAAGCAGACACAGGGUUGUUUGUGUUUCUUGUGAUCCGACACAAGAAGACCACCAUCUUCACUGAUGCCAAGGAGUCAAGCACGGUGUGGGAGCUCAAGCGCAUCAUUGAGGGCAUCAUGAAGAGGCCUCCUGAGGAGCAGCUGCUGUUCAAGGACAACCAGCUCCUUGAUGAGAUGAAAACUCUGAGGGAAUGUGGCUUCACUUUUCAGGUAGCAAGGCCAGAGACCCCAGCCACAGUGGGCCUGGCCUUCAGAACAGGAGAUGUCUUUGAAGGCCUGGAGAUCCACCCCUAAUCUUUUCCUCCACCUCUUCCAGACGUGAGGAAGGAUUCUGGAAACAGUGCUAAGGAACAAGAUGUGCAGUGAGGGCC